UACGUAGGGUGCGAGCGUUGCCCGGAUUUAUUGGGCGUAAAGGGCGCGUAGGCGGCCACGCACGUCCGUUGUGAAAUCGCCCGGCUCAACUGGGCGGGGUCAGCGGAUACGGUGUGGCUAGAGCAAGCUAGGGGGCAAUGGAAUUCCCGGUGUAGUGGUGGAAUGCGUAGAUAUCGGGAGGAACACCAGUGGCGAAGGCGGUUGCCUGGAGCUUUGCUGACGCUGAUGCGCGAAAGCCAGGGGAGCAAACGGG
rnacentral:rRNA from 1 species